rnacentral:rRNA from 1 species
UGGUUGACCUCGGAUCAGGUAGGGC